rnacentral:rRNA from 1 species
GACGAACGCUGGCGGCGUGCUUAACACAUGCAAGUCGAGCGGUAAGGCCCUUUCGGGGGUACACGAGCGGCGAACGGGUGAGUAACACGUGGGUGACCUGCCCUCAGCUCUGGGAUAAGCCUGGGAAACUGGGUCUAAUACUGGAUAUGACUCCACGGUGCAUGUCGUGGGGUGGAAAGCCUUGUGCGGCUGAGGAUGGGCCCGCGGCCUACCAGCUUGUUGGUGGGGUGAUGGCCUACCAAGGCGACGACGGGUAGCCGGCCUGAGAGGGCGACCGGCCACACUGGGACUGAGACACGGCCCAGACUCCUACGGGAGGCAGCAGUGGGGAAUCUUGCGCAAUGGGCGAAAGCCUGACGCAGCGACGCCGCGUGAGGGAUGACGGCCUGGUGUAA